UACGUAGGAGACGAGCGUUGUCCGGAAUUACUGGGCGUAAAGCGCGUGUAGGCGGAUGGGCAAGUCUGCUGUGAAAGCUCCUGGCUUAACCGGGAGUGGUCGGUGGAAACUGCCAAUCUGGAGGACGGUAGAGGUAGGUAGAAUUCCUGGUGUAGUGGUGAAAUGCGUAGAGAUCGGGAGGAACACCUGUGGCGAAGGCGGCCCACUGGGCCGGACCUGACGCUGAGACGCGAAGGCGUGGGGAGCGAACGGG
rnacentral:rRNA from 1 species